rnacentral:rRNA from 1 species
CCCCCUUUUAAUCAGUGAAACUGAUCUCCCCGUGAAGAAGCGGGGAUAACUAUAUAAGACGAGAAGACCCCAUGGAGCUUUAAACCCAGCAACACCUAUCUUUAUACACCCUUAUAUUCACGUAACUCUACUUGCUCGGUUUUAGGUUGGGGUGACCGCGGAGCACAACAAAACCUCCACGAAAAAAGGACCAACAAUCCUUAUCCAAGAUGCACAUAUCUAAGAAUUAAUAUAUUAACUUUUAAUGAUCCGUUAUUCGAUCAACGAACCAAGUUACCCUGGGGAUAACAGCGCAAUCUACCUCGAGAGCUCCUAUCGACAGGUAGGUUUACGACCUCGAUGUUG